CACACACACACACACACACACACACGGCUGAGAGAUUGAUUGACUGAUAACGAGAGAGAGAGAGAGAGAGAGAGAGAGAGAGAGAGAGAGAGAGAGAGAGAGAGAGAGAGAGAGAGAGGAGGUAAUUACAGGCCUUGGCAGAUUGCAUGAGCGUGAUAGGAAGAAAAAAAAGAAAAAAAAGAAAUUAAGAGAAAUAGUGGAGAGAAAAACAACAAGGAUGAAAAAAUAACGAAGAGAGGAGGAAGAAAAAAAUAGCAAAAAAAAAAGGAAAGAAAUACAACAUGAAAAAUAAGAGGAAAAAGAUAAUGAGGAAAAGGCUUACAAGGAAGAGACGAAAUAAGAGUUUACGAAAGAGAAGAAAAAAAAGAACAAUUAGAUUUAGCAAUUAAGUAAAACACGGAGAAGGAAAACAAGUGGAAAAAAGGAAGAAGGAAGAAAAAAACGAAGAAUACAGGAAAAAAGGAGAAGAAAUAAUAAUGGGGAAAAUAAAAGGAAAAACGGAAAAUGAAGGGUUAGAUUAGGUAAGACAUGAUCAGGCUUGGUCAGGUUAUGUUAGGUUAGGUUAGGUCAGGCAAGAUUGAUAGAUUAGAUAAGACUUGUUCAGGCUAGGAUAGGAUAGGUUAGGCAAGAUUGAUAGAGGGUUAGAUUAGGUAAGACUUGUUCAGGCUAGGAUAGGAUAGGUCAGGCAAGAUUGAUAGAGGGUUAGAUUAGGUAAGACUUGUUCAGGCUAGGUUAGGAUAGGUUAGGCAAGAUUGAUAGAGGAUUAGAUUAGGUAAGACUUGAUCAAGCUAGGUUAGAUUAGGUUAGGAUAGGUUAGGCAAGAUUGAUAGAGAAUUAGAUUAGGUAAAACUUGUUCGCUAGGUCAGGAUAGGUUAGGAUAGGUUAGGCAAGAUUGAUAGAGGGUUAGAUUAGGUAAGACUUGUUCAGGCUAGGUUAGGAUAGGUUAGGAUAGGUUAGGCAAGAUUGAUAGAGAGUUAGAUUCGGUAAAACUCGUUCGCUAGGUCAGGUUAGGUUAGGAUAGGUUAGGCAAGAUUGAUAGAGGGUUAGAUUAGGUAAGACUUGUUCAGGUUAGGUUAGGUUAGGUUAGGAUAGGUUAGGCAAGAUUGAUAGAGAAUUAGAUUAGGUAAAACUUGUUCGCUAGGUCAGGAUAGGUUAGGAUAGGUUAGGCAAGAUUGAUAGAGAAUUAGAUUAGGUAAAACUUGUUCGCUAGGUCAGGAUAGGUUAGCAUAGGUUAGGCAAGAUUGAUAGAGGGUUAGAUUAGGUAAGACUUGUUCAGGCUAGGCUAGGUUAGGAUAGGUUAGGCAAGAUUGAUAGGGAGUUAGAUUCGGUAAAACUCGCUCGCUAGGUCAGGUUAGGAUAAGUUAGGCAAGAUUGAUAGAUGAAUAGAUUCAGUAAAACUCGUUCGCUAGGUCAGGAUAGGCUAUACAAGAUUGAUAGUUAGAUUAGGUAAGACGCGUUCAGGCUAGGUUAGGUUAGGUUAGGUUAGGUCAGGAUAGGUUGUACAAGAUUGAUAGUUAGAUUAGGUAAGACGCGUUCAGGCUAGGUCAGGUUAGGCUUGCCCAGGUAAGGUCACAUGAAGUCAGCUGUGGUACCCAAGGUGAGGCAGCGUUUGAACAGGUGUGUGUAUUUAGAUAAGACUGUAAUACCUGUGAUUAAAGGUGUGAGAGUACGUGCCUAGUCUCGCGUCUGCAUGAGAGAGAGAGAGAGAGAGAGAGAGAGAGAAGGGGAAACAGACAAAAGAAAAGGUGAACGGCA